rnacentral:rRNA from 1 species
UACGUAGGGGGCAAGCGUUGUCCGGAAUCAUUGGGCGUAAAGCGCGUGUAGGCGGUUCGAUAAGUCUGCUGUGAAAGUCCAGGGCUCAACCCUGGGAUGCCGGUGGAUACUGUCGGACUAGAGUACGGAAGAGGCGAGUGGAAUUCCCGGUGUAGCGGUGAAAUGCGCAGAUAUCGGGAGGAACACCAAUAGCGAAGGCAGCUCGCUGGGACGUUACUGACACUGAGGCGCGAAAGCGUGGGGAGCGAACAGG